UUUACCCCAAUCUGCGGCAGAAUUCCAUGGCUCCCUGAUUUUAUUUUGUUUAUCCAUGCUAUUUAUUGAGCUUUAUCACUUUUGUGGGAUUUCUGGCACUUUGCUGCUUUUCUGUAUGUAUCAUUUUUCCAAUAAGGCAUCUUGCCUAUUUUCCAGAAAACAUUUUUAUGUUUUCUAUCCCAUUAAAGAGGUUUAUUUUCCCAUUAAUUCCUAAAGAAGGCAGAACUAAUCAGCUGUGGAGUUUUAGCCUACUGAUCAAUGCUAUCUGUAAAUUGUGUUGGAAGGCUAAUUCCUUGUUUCUGCACUAAAGAAUCAUAGGAAAUAAUGCAGGUCAAGAACAAGGACAUAUCCCAUGCAAGCAGACAGACUCCAGCCAACAUAAACUACUACCCGCCUCCCAGGACAAGGCUGACGAGUGCUGGUAAAUAAAUAGGUACUGAAUAGGUAAGGGCUCUCCAUCCCCCAGUAGACAUCUGCUCUUUGUGCUGCCUGAGAUGCCAUGUGGGCAACAUGCUGAUCCUGCUGGAACACUCUGUUCCCUGCUCUGAGGAACACUUAAUGCUGCUCGAAGCAUGUGUACCAGCGCUACAUGGAAGAAUUGAGCGGCUCCUCCCACACAGCCAGGCGCAUCUCCUUUCUAUUAAUUCACAGGCUAAAUUUCUGUCUGAGACUGAUUAAAAUGCCUGAGUUAAUAUCACUGCAAAGAAAAGAAAAAGCUGUAACAAGAGCACUGCCAUGACUACAAAUGAUAAUGAGAGAGAGAAUAAGUUGUGGCUGCCCCUGUUGAUCUCCCUCUGCCUGACCCCAGGGGGGUGAAAGCCCCUUGCUGACUGACACAGCCAGUUUGGGCAGUCACCAGUACAGAAGCCUAUACACAGUCACUACAGACAAGGCAGUUUGGGGAUAAUUUCAGGCCUUCCUGAAGCCAUACUGCAGGACAGAAGAGAAAGCUCUGGGAACCAGUGAAUUAUAAAGCUAUUUACUUCUGCUCCCAUCCCAGGUACUACAUGAAAAACUAUAAAAGAGGCAAAAACCUGGAGUUUGAGAUGGCAUCAUUUAAUUGCAGAGCACAACAACAAAUGGUUAAAUCAUUCUCUUAAGAGCUCCUUUUGCUUAAUGUUAUUGUUAAUAACUUUCCCAUGCAGGACUGCAAUCUCUGACUGUUUAUCUCAUCUAUAUUAGUCUCUCCUGUUUUAUUCAUAAGUACAUACAAAUGAAAAAAUGGAUGUGUAAUAAUGGUUAUGUAUAACUCUGGGUUGUGAGGAGCUCUAUAUUGACAAGCUUUCAAAUAAUCUGCUUCUAUUGUUUUAAUUUUUUUGUUGUUAUUGGAUCCAAACGAUGAUUGCUUUGCUAAAAACAAGCACCCCAUUUGCUGCCACACCUAUUAUCCCACGUGAAAAAAAAAUCAUCUUCAUAACACAAACAGAAUACUACUAUUUUCUGAAUUUGCUUUUUAUCUCCUACUGUACAUGCUGUCACAUGUUGUUUGCUGAAUUCAAAGGAAUAGAAUUGGAAAACACUUCUCCUGAACCUGUC